UACGAAGGGGGCUAGCGUUGUUCGGAUUUAUUGGGCGUAAAGCGCACGUAGGCGGCUUCUUAAGUCAGGGGUGAAAUCCUGGAGCUCAACUCCAGAACUGCCUUUGAUACUGAGUAGCUUGAGUCCGGGAGAGGUGAGUGGAACUGCGAGUGUAGAGGUGAAAUUCGUAGAUAUUCGCAAGAACACCAGUGGCGAAGGCGGCUCACUGGUCCGGUACUGACGCUGAGGUGCGAAAGCGUGGGGAGCAAACAGG
rnacentral:rRNA from 1 species